rnacentral:rRNA from 1 species
UACGGAGGGUGCAAGCAUUAAUCGGAAUCAUUGGGCGUAAAGCGCACGUAGGCGGCUCGUUAAGUCGGAUGUGAAAGCCCUGGGCUCAACCCAGGAAGUGCAUUCGAUACUGGCGAGCUUGAAUAUGGAAGAGGGUUGCGGAAUUCCCGGUGUAGAGGUGAAAUUCGUAGAUAUCGGGAGGAACACCAGUGGCGAAGGCGGCAACCUGGGCCAAUAUUGACGCUGAGGUGCGAAAGCGUGGGGAGCAAACAGG